rnacentral:lncRNA from 1 species
UUGAAGCUUGUAAAGUGGUGAAAGGAACUUCUAGAUUGGUACUUCGUGAUGAGCUGGAUUCACUAACUCAUACGUUUAUCAGAAAGGAUGGUGAAUUAUACAGAACUAUUCAUGACAAGCUGUUUGACUUUCUUGCUUUUUACUUUGGCAGUGUUAUGAUUUAUUGUUUAAUUAAUAAUGCUUCAAGUCAUUUUAUUCGUGAAAGAUUUGUUUUUAAAAAUAAAGGCAACAGAGAUGAAUUUUUAAUAGAUGUAUCAGAAAGAUAUCAGCAAAUGUAUAUAAAUAGAUUGAUAGAUGACUGGUUUAGAGGAAAGAUAGUAGAUGUCUUCUGUAACAUCAAUAUGGAUGAUCAAAUCUUCAGACAAAGAAUCCUUGUACAUUUAAAAGGUUUAGAAAUAUCAAAACAAAACAAUUGGCUAGUCUAUAUAACACACAAAACAAUAGCACACCAUUAAUACAGUGUUGUUAUAUAGGAGAUAUUGAUCUGGUUGCAUGGUGCUUAUAUCAUUGUAACAGUAAUGUAAACCAUUGUCGAAAGAUGGAAUAUCACCUCUGUUCAUGCUUGUGCAGGAAGGACAUAUACUGAAGUAGUACAGAUGUUAAUAAACAAUAAGGCUGACAUUAAUAAGUGUAGAGAUAAUGAUGGAGUAUCACCUCUGUUCAUUGCUGUCAGGAAGAGACAUACUGAAGUAGUACAGAUGUUAAUAAACAAUAAGGCUGACAUUAAUAAGUGUAGAGAUGAUGGAGUAUCACCUCUGUACGUUGCUUGUCAGAAAGGACAUACUGAAGUAGUACAGAUGUUAAUAAACAAUAAGGCUGACAUUAAUAAGUGUAGAUAAUGAUGGAGUAUCACCUCUGUACAUUGGCUUGUCAGGAAGGACAUACUGAAGUAGUUCACGAUGUUAAUAAACAAUAAGGCUGACAUUAAUAAGUGUAAAUAGAAUGAUGGAGUAUCACCUCUGUUCAUUGCUUGUCAGGAAAGACAUACUGAAGUAGUACAGAUGUUAAUAAACAAUAAGGCUGACAUUAUAAGUGUAAAGAUAUGAUGGAGCAUCACCAUCUGUUCAUUGCUUGUCAGGAAAGACAUACUGAAGUAGUACAGAUGUUAUAACAACAAGGCUGAUAUUAAUAAGUGUAUAGAACAGGAGAAUCCCCCA